rnacentral:lncRNA from 1 species
AAAAAAAAAAAAAAAAAAAAAAAAAAAGCUGUAAAUCCAAGGCCUAAAAGCUCCCCUCAAUGGGAAGUGGAAUCUCUUUCUCCACCUCUUCAAUAUGGCUGGCCCUGGAACUUCCCUUGGCACACAGAAUGCAGCAGAAUUGGCUUCAUAUUGUUUCUAAGCCUUGGCCUCAGAGGCCUUGCAUGCUUCCUAACCCUGGCUCUAGGAAACUUGCUGCUGUCAUGUAAUCAAGCCCAGGCUAACCUGCUGAAUGUUGGUGUGUCCCAGUCAAAUCCAGCACUGCAACCAAUAGCCAGCCAGCCACCAGACAUGUGAGUGGGGCCACCUCACACCAGCCAACCUCCACCAAGUCAUCAGAUGUAUGAGUGAGAACAGCCCAGAACAACUGAGCCCGUCCAGACCAGCGGAACGACCAAGCUGACCAGUAGACUUAGGAGCAGUAAACAGAUGAUUGUUCUGGAAGCCAUUCCGUUUAGGGUGUGUGUGUUAUUGCUUGCAUCCAAAUACAUCCUAUCUCAUCUAGUGAGAAAAGGCCCCGCUCAAGGGCUUUUGCAGCUGUAGUUGGGCGCCGGAAGUGUCUUUGUGGUCAUUUCUUACUCCAUACACGGGGAGAUCAAGGCUCAGACCAGGUAAUGUGACUGUGGAUGACACUUUCCUUACCCCUCUGUGGCACUUGAAUCAAUGAAGCAGAUUCACAGAAGCAUGCAUGCUCACUGAACACAGUAUUUGCAUUCCUACCUCCAGACCUUUGCUCCACCCAUGCAUCCAGUAAGAAUGCCUGCUUCCC